CCAAUAGCGUAUAUUAAAGUUGUUGCAGUUAAAAAGCUCGUAGUUGAACUUCGGGAUCAAUGGAUUGGUCAUGCCGUUGGUAUGUACUGGUCAUAUUGGUUCUCACCUUCUAAGGAACCAUAAUGUCAUUAAUUUGAUGUUGUGGGGAAUUAGGACUGUUACCUUGAAAAAAUUAGAGUGUUUAAAGCAGGCUAACGCUUGAAUACAUUAGCAUGGAAUAAUGAAAUAGGACAUCGCAUUCUAUUUUGUUGGUUUCUAGGAUCGAUGUAAUGAUUAAUAGGGAUAGUUGGGGGCAUUAGUAUUCAAUUGUCAGAGGUGAAAUUCUUGGAUUUAUUGAAGACUAACUACUGCGAAAGCAUUUGCCAAGGAUGUUUUCAUUAAUCAAGAACGAAAGUUAGGGGAUCGAAGACGAUCAGAUACCGUCGUAGUCUUAACCAUAAACUAUGCCGACUAGGGAUCGGAUGAUGUUACUUUUUAAAUGACUCAUUCGGCACCUUACG
rnacentral:rRNA from 1 species